AGCUCCAAUAGCGUAUAUUAAAGUUGCUGCGGUUAAAAAGCUCGUAGUCGGAUCUCAGUCUCGGUCGGAUGGUCCAUUUCACGAUGGUACUGUUCGAAUCGGACAUUUCGCUGCGUUUCUCAGUAUGCUCUUGACUGAGUGUGCUGGGAGAGUGGCACGUUUACUUUGAAAAAAUUAGAGUGCUCAAAGCAGGCAAUCGCCUGAAUCUUCGUGCAUGGAAUGAUGGAAUAGGGCCUCGAUCCUGUUUUGUUGGUUCAAGGGAUUUGAGGUAAUGAUUAAGAGGGACGGCCGGGGGCAUUCGUAUUGCGACGUUAGAGGUGAAAUUCUUAGAUCGUCGCAAGACGGACUACUGCGAAAGCAUUUGCCAAGAAUGUUUUCA
rnacentral:rRNA from 1 species